rnacentral:tRNA from 1 species
CAAAAAGUAGUUUAAAAUAAAAUUCUAGUUUUGGGAAUUAGAGAUAAGAUCCAAUUUUCUUUUUGA